GUGAAAAGGGGCUUGCUCCCGAUGGUGGGGGAUCAGUCAGUACAUCUGUUGACUGAUCCGCCGCCAUCGGGAGCAAGCCCCCUCCCAC
rnacentral:misc_RNA from 1 species